AUUGAACGCUGGCGGCAGGCCUAACACAUGCAAGUCGAACGAGUGGCGGACGGGUGAGUAAUGUAUGGGAAACUGCCUGGUGGAGGGGGAUCACAACUGGAAACGGAAGCUACUACCGCAUACCAUCAGCUGUGCCCGGUUGGGAUUAGCUUGGUGGUGGGGUAACGGCUGACCAAGGCCACGAUCCCUAGCUGGUCUGAGAGGAUGACCAGCCACACUGGAACUGAGACACGGUCCAGACUCCUACGGGAGGCAGCAGGGGGGAAUAUUGCACAAUGGGCGCAAGCCUGAUGCAGCCAUGCCGCGUGUAUGAAGAAGGCCUUCGGGUUGUAAAGUACUUUCAGCUGGGAGGCGUUACCCGCUGAAGAAGCACCGGCUAACUCCGUGCCAGCAGCCGCGGUAAUAC
rnacentral:rRNA from 1 species